rnacentral:rRNA from 1 species
GACGGAGGAGGCAAGCGUUAUCCGGAAUUACUGGGCGUAAAGCGUGCGCAGGCGGUUUUGUAAGUCUGUCGUGAAAGCCCCGGGCUCAACCUGGGAAUUGCGAUGGAGACUGCAAGGCUUGAAUCUGGCAGAGGGGGGUAGAAUUCCACGUGUAGCAGUGAAAUGCGUAGAGAUGUGGAGGAACACCGAUGGCGAAGGCAGCCCCCUGGGUCAAGAUUGACGCUCAUGCACGAAAGCGUGGGGAGCAAAUAGG